CCCUCGUGGUCGGCGUCGGGGACGUCGAAGCCGGCUGUCAGCAGGUGCGGUACCAGCGCCGAGGCGCGGGCCUCCUUCACCUGGAGGACGAGGGGC
rnacentral:tRNA from 1 species